ensembl:misc_RNA Gm22326 predicted gene, 22326
AGAAUGUGGUAGUGGGUAUAAGGAUAAUCUGGCUUGAUCCUGAGGGUUGAUUCUGCUGAUCUGGCUGGCUAGGUGAGUGUCCCUUUCCCUCAAUAUUCUGCAUGCAUCCCUCCCAACGCUACUUGGUUGAAGAGGACACACUUUGCCUAAUAGAGGAAGCUCAUUCUUUAGUCAAAGUUAUAUGUGUAGCUGUAAAUCUCCUCUCCGAGAUCAUCCAAAUAAGAUCUCAAGAAUGGUAGGUAAUGUUGAUUCACCUCUGGGUGUUCCUGUGAGGGUGUUUCCAGAGAUGGGUAGAUCAUAAAAUGUGGAAAGCCUUCUGGGGUGUCACUUGGCAGGAGUCUGACAUUGGCC